rnacentral:lncRNA from 12 species
CAGGCUUGUUCUGGGAGCAAGAGAAGGUCUGAUUGCAUAAUAGAAAUACAUCCAGGGUAAAAGGUAGGAAUCAAGAGUUAGAAAAGAAUGGUAAAAGUGUUGGGAUUGACUAAUGUUUGCACAGAUGCUCUGCCACCAUGCCCAGGCUUGGCAGUCC